CAGAAGCAAUAGAUUAUUAAUAUCAUAUCUAAUUCAUCACUAAUGUUUGUCAAACACUCUCUUUGAUAUCUAACAUCUAAUAUCGAUCUCAUAAUUUUAUAUUAAACCGAUCAAUUCUCGCUUAUCUCAGUAUUAAUAACUCUAUAUUAGACCAGCUUGCACUUCAUUAAUUUCACGACCAACGUACCGGGAACAUCAUCACGUUGUCGUCUGUCGUGUAAUCGUUGCCAGUGUAUCGUUAUCAGUGGACAAUUCGGAUCAAUAAAAUAGUCAUCUAUCCGGUCAGAUAACUUCAUGGAUGAUAGAGUGUUAAUUACAGGGGACACGAUAUGAAUUGUAUGCACAUAUAUCUACAUAUAAAAGAAAAAGAAAAAAAGAAAAUUUCACGAAACAUUAACGAGAAACAUUAGCAAGAGAUUGAUACAUGACGUGGAAUAUUAUGAAAGCGAAUAUUUUCGCAAUUUUUUUCCAGUAUUGCCUUUGUGAAACUUGAAUACGUUUGAAAUUCAUGAAUAAUCCUUUUGUAAGUUCGAGAUUAUUGUCUUGUAAAAAACGAUAAGCAGUAAGCAGUAAGUCAUUAUAUAAAUCUAUCCCAUUAUUAACGAUGAAAACAUUUUUACAAGAAAGAUUAAAAUUCCAAACUUACCUUACCAAAAAAGAAAUAUAAAUAUCGAUUACUCGAUUAUCCGAUAACUAACUAAAAUUACACCCGUUUAAGUAAUGUUAUUCGCGAAACGAAUAAUAAAACCUCGAUAAAAUACUGAAUUACGCCGAACGAUGAAAUUCUCGGAGGAAUGGAUAAAAACGAUAUCCGAUAUUAUUCAUAUGAAACGAUCGCUGCCAUGCCAAUACUUGGCCUAUGAAAAGAAAUAAUAUCGCUCCUGUCGGUGGCAUUUCUCCACGAAAGAUAGAAACAACGCGAACAGCUUUUGCCAAGAGGAAGGAAUAAGGUAAAUUUCGAGCCAAAAUUCGACGAAUCUGGAACAUUGCGAGAAGAGGAAGGGAAACGUCUCUUAGGCACCUUUGGCCAAGAGGAGAAGAAACUAUUAAUCCAUUUGCAGCGAUAUCAACGCAACGUGCCAGCUGUUUCUAAGCACGGAAAUAAUCCGUUGGUCGGUAUUAAGGUCUACGACGAUGCCAUAAACGAUGCUCUUUUUUCUUGGACGUUCAAUGUGUGCGCUUGUCUAUGUGCGCGGCGCGUGCAAUCUUCCACGUUUUAUACCGGAAUUCAUGAAAUUGGUUUGGUGCUAACAGUUAAAAAGGAAAUAUAGCGGAAGUGCUUGAACAGGAUAAUAUUAAAAUAUCGAGAUUGGAUUGUACUUGUGAAAAAUUUUUAAACGACCUCAAGGAAAACUUAUUUUCUAAAUUUUCUUUUUUGCACGAGAACAAAUAUUUCUUCAAUUAAUCAAUUCAACUUGUCGAUGAGAUCGAAAUAUUUUUUUUCAUCGUCGAAGAAAAUGUAAUACCUUUAAAAGUUCCAGUUGAACGAAAUUUCUCUCGUUUCUCUUCGUCUCGCAACAUCCUUUUAAGAACCUCGCUCUACAAUCUCUCGAGGCCUAAUUGUCGUCUUAGCAUUAUUCCUAGACUGGUAGAUCCUCGACUGGUACAUGUCCAAAAAAUCUUUUCACUGCUUACAUACCCAUGUAUACAUACCCAUAUAAUCACCGAUACAUUAUAUAUACAUAUGUACAAAAAUAUAUAUAUAUAUAUAUAGAUAGUCCGUCUCGAGCAGCCACUCCGCCUUUUUCUCUUUCCAGAGAGAAGCAGCUUCGGCACCAGACCACGGUGGCAACACAGAGGCGACGUCGGCGUCGGCGUCGGCGGCAUCUCUCGAGGAAGGGCAUUGUUUUAUUCCGACCGCGUAGCAGACACUCCUCAUCCCCCUUCCUCCUCCGCCCUGACUGCCACUCUCGACAAUUUACCCCCGUCUCGACCCUCUCCCUCUUCGGUUUUCCACUCUCUCCUCCAAUUCCAUCGCCCCCUCCCCCUCUCCACCUUAGCCUCCACCCUACCGAUAACGCCAUAGCUUAAUGACGCCGUGCUCGCCUCAAUAUCGCAUUGCGUAUAACCCCCUACAAACCUACCAAACGACGGCUCUCGAUGCGUUUUCUUUUCCUUCUUACCCACUUCGCCUGUCUCUUCUUUCCCUCUCACCUCUUAGUCGAGCCUCUCUAGUCUAGCUUCUCUCUGUCUCUCUCUCUCCCUCCCUUUCUCUCUUCGAUUUUUUUCUUCGCUUUAUACAUUCGCUUGAUACCCGGCAAAUAUUUCGGCAGAGCCAGGUUUAAUAUGUGGAAAAGCUAGACCGGAUAUAGCAACGGCUUAUUGCCAGUUGUUAUUUUCGGGUCGGGUUUAUAACGACCGAUCGCCGAAAGGAUAGACAUUGGGGGGAGGGGGAGGACGCGCGUAUUAAGGAUCGGGGAAUACAGAUGGCGCUACGCUAGGUUGGAGCAGAGUUAAUUCGAGUUGAGCAGAGAGAUUGGAAUUUAGGCGAUGCUUUCUUAUUUUUACAGCGACCGUACGAAUAAUUGAUUGAUAUUCUUGCCUUUUGAGAAUAGUGCAGAAAUGGAUCGUAUAUGGAAAAUUCCCUUUCGUGGUAUAAAUUUUACAAUAUUGAAAUAUCUCUUAAGACUGGUAAUUAUUUAUUUAAUUAUUAUUUAAUUUAAAUUAACGCUAUUUACUUGUACAUAUUAAAAUGUAUACAAGUAGUAAGAAAAUCAAGAAAAUUCAGAUAUUAAAAAUAUCUUCUUCUCCAAAAAUUCUCUCCUUCAAAAUUUAUUUCAUUAUCAAAUAAAAAAGAAGGACACCCCGUAGAUAGUUAUGAAUCGUCUGGCGCCGAGAUUAGGAUGCAAAACUUCAAGGGGUACAUCGUCCCCCAUCGGAGCGGACUGUCAAUUUGUCUCGCGUGACAAAUCCCUCUUUCCAUACCGGCCGAUGAGGCACCGAUUCCCAGAUACACGAAAAAAAAAUGAAAAAAAUAAAAAAAAAUGAAAAAAAAGAAAAAAAGAAUGGGGGGGAAAAAAACCAGGGAAAAUUCACGGAAGGCGAACGGCACGCUAAUUCGUGUUAUCGCCAAUCCGGUAGCAUCUGGGCGUAGUCGGCUCAACGGCGGACACGACAUUUCAAUCCGCAAGCAGUGAAAGCGGUUUACCGCUUUUUUCGCCGGCGCGUAUACACGAGUUCCGCGUGGAUACGCUCGUAAAACGGUUAUUCCCGAGUGAGCAGGUGGCGAUGAUGGCGACAGGGGUUGGGAAGAGGGCUCUCGAAACGGAUGCAAGCGGAUCGGGUCACGGAACAAACGAUGUUCCUCUGUAUCCUAGCAAAAUCGGCCGGCAAGAAGCUUUCUACUCGCUUUCUACCGCGCUGAUGGACCGUUUCCUCCCCUCCCUUAACUGUUCACACUUCGUUGGCCAGUUGUUGUGCAGAAAAAUUCCUAUGCUCCGUUCUUAUUUAUUCUAAUCGAUAUUAUAAGUGGUAAGGGAAAACGGAUAUGUUUAUGAUGUUUCAUAUAUAGGGAUUAUGAUUUGUGGUGAUGAGGAUGAGUCACGUAACGUGAUCGUUUGAAAUGUGUUCUAUGAGUUAUUUGUUGUACGAAAAGAUGGUUUUUAUACGAAAGUUGCACGAAAUAAAGAUAUGUAGAGAUAUGUGGCAUAAAUGUUCUCUUUUUCUUAUGAAUGAAAAUUUAUUUGUGAACGGUAUUGAUAUGCGAUUAAGGAAAGUUGAUGGAUGUUGAAGAACCAAUAAUGUGAUCGUUUGAAAUUGUUCGUUGAAUUAUUUGUUAUUUGAAAAAGUAUUAAUCUAUUUGUUGUUAACGAUGAAUUAGUUUAAGAAAUAUUUUAAUGCGAAGGAAAAAUGAGAAAUUUAAUACAAAAGUUUACAAUGAUAUAUAAUCGAAAUAACAAUAUAUCGAAAUACACAUAAAUUUCAUUAUACAUGUAAGAAAAGCAUUAUAUUUCCUCUUUCAUUCUGUUGCAUAUUAUAAGAUUAUGAAAUUCAAGUUAAAAUAUUUUUUAAACAAAUAAUCUUUUCCAUAUAUAAAUUAUAUUAUAAAGAAUAACAAUAUCGAUUAAUAUAUUUAAAUAAUAUAUAUAUUUAAAAAAAAGACAAAAUUAUAUCUUUGAAGAAAAGUUGUCUCUAAAGAAAUCGUUCAAUUUUUAUAUUUUUUGAAAUAAUUUACGAAUAAUGGAUAAUAAACUAAUUUAAAAUAAUCAUUUUCUAUAAUUCUAUUUAUAAUUUGAAUUAUAACUAUAAUUAUGUUAAAAGAUUCAUCUGUUGAAAUAAUUGAUAUUACGAUUCAUGAAUUAUUUUUUUUCUUUAAUCACCCAUUGUGAUUCACAUCUAAAUCGUUUCUUAAUUUUUUCAAGUAAUAGGAAGAAUUUGUUUCGCGCUAAUCCAAAUGAAUUUGAUGAAUAGUCAUUUAUCAAUAUUUUUGACCUAAUUAAUUCUCUUUGUUGAUGGUCCGAUCGUAGAAAAGGAGAUGAAGAGUCGUUGAAAAGCGCGAGAAAAUUGAUACACAGCUUUCUCUUUGUGCGCAAAUCCGAAGACCUUACCAUGACUAACGCUUGCAAAUUGCAUCAAGAGCCAAAUUCUCGCAAAGCAAACACGUUUCUCUGUUAUAUUGAUGGCGAGAAAAAAAUGGAAUGGAAUCCCGUAUCUACUAUUGUCUGCAUACAAUAUCUGUAUAGUUUAAACAGUAAAAACUAUGCAUGAAUGAUUUCACGUUAACGUCGUAUGAAAUUUGAUCAGAAUGAAUUAAUUCUGUUAUAGAAAAUAAAAAUAGAAUUUAUCUUAAAUUUUGAAUUUAAUUUAUAUAUUUAUACAUAAAAAAUAUGGAAUAUUCAAUUAUAUAUUCGAUAAAAUAUCUUAGGA